AAUGAUGAGCCUGAUUAAAGGACUAUCGUGAUAGGAUAAAACAUGUAGUUAAAGCUACCUUCAUUA
rnacentral:tRNA from 2 species